UAAAACUCUAGAACUAAUAAACUAUGAAAUUAAAGGAAGAGAAGAGAAGAAAAACUAGUUAGAAGCCUCCUCCCAGCGUGGUGUGUGUUCCUCCACCUGAAUUCUCUUUCAAAGUAUGUUUUAUAUCACCAAAGUGGCGUCCUCCUUAAAAGUGGUGUUUUAGGAUGUAUUUAUAUGACCUAGGGUUGAUGAGGGGCGGAAUCCUUCAAUCCAACUUCGGAUGGGAGAGCUGGAAUCUGCGUCUGUCUUCGUGUCUAGACGCGGAAACGCGGAUCCAGCUUUUGAGAUUCUUCCAUUUCGCGAAUCGCUUCGUGCCUUUGCUUCACUUCACUAUUUUAUGCCUUAAAUAUUCUCUUUUUUCGCGUCCGACUUCGUGCCACGCACGAGAAUAGACAAGCUCCCACUCCUUUAAUUUCUUCUUUUUAUGUCGAAUUGUUAUCUUUUGAUUAUUUAUCAUCCAAUAUCGUUCCUACACAUAAAAAACACAUAAUUAGUAUAUUUCACUUCGAAAAUCAUGUAAUCUCCCGCGACACACACAAAAAUUAAUAUAUAAAUAUACACAAAAAUAUGCACUUUUCAUCAUUUAUCAACUUCUACUCAGAAAGGGGAAGAAGGAACGAAGGGGGAGCAAGGGGAAAACGACUGCAGCAAAACUUGAACCUUUGUGUUACGUUUGUUUGAUAUAUCAAGAUUCAUUACGAUGAUGUUACAUAGUAAUGAUUAAGUUACUUAGCAGAAUAUAUUGCAUAGCUGGAGCGAUGAGGAUUGUGUCAAGGUGCUGAUGAAAUGCAGAGAAGCUAUUGCAGAAAAUGUUGAAGAGGGGAGAAAAGGGAAGAAGGUCCUUAUCAUUGACAAAGUAUUAGACACAAACGAAGAUGAACCAGACAUGACUCAAGUAAAGCUCAUGAAAGACAUGUUGAUGGCAAUGUUUUUCACUGGAAAAGAAAGGACCGAGAAAGAAUGGGAGAAACUAUUCGUUAAAGCUGGCUUUACACGUUACAAUAUUAGACCAAUCUUUGGCCUUAGGUCUCUUAUUGAAGUUUUCCCUUGAAAAAUAUAUAUGGGGUUUUAAGUUUUUCUUAAGAGAUGAUGGUCAUGUUGUGCUUGAUAAAUAAUUAAUGGCGUCCCUGCUUACGUAAUAAUAACCCGUUGCUCUGUUUUCUUCAGCACUGCGCAAUAUCCUAUUUGUAAUUCCUCUAACAGAACCUUCACAUUUCAAGAGACAAAGAAUCAAAGUUUUUCACCAACAUAUGAAUCCUUUGGUAUCAAGGCCUUAUUACUUGCCCUCGUAGAGUAUACAAUUUUAUUUUUGUUUCUACCUUGCCCAAUUUUGUGAAGGAUCAAUAUAUCCCUAAUCAAAUUGCUUAGUUAGCAGUGAUGCUGCAAUUAUAUUUCUUUAGACAUUAUGACCCACGUAUUGUGAAUUCGAAUUAGUCGGGCAUUAAUGUAGUAUCGUAUAUUGAGUGGGAAACCAAAAAAAGACAUCAUUAUUUGCCAACAUUCAAAUAUCGGAUUGCAGUAAAUUAAAGAAACAGCUACUUCGUCCUAGCACCGCAAAACGCACAUUGACUAUAUAUUACAAGUUGAGCCUUGACAGCCUGGUUUAAAUAUUUCUUCUGACGACUCAAUUGCGAGCUCAGUACUCUUACAACCAUGCCUCCAUGCAUGCUUUACGAUCAAGAUUCAAAAGUCUAUCGCACAAAAAGUAGUUAAACUUCUUGCACAAGGAAAUUAUUUUAAAAUUCCAUUUAAACUGCUCAAAGUUGAACGAACAAUAAAGUAUUACCACCACCAUAUCCAACAGGCACCAAGAUCUAUUGAUAUAUAUCUUGCCGUUUUGUAG
rnacentral:lncRNA from 1 species